GCUGGGCAUGGUGGCACAUGCCUGUAGUCCCAGCUACUCGGGAGGCUGAAGCUGGAGGAUCGCUUGAGUCCAGGAGUUCUGAGCUGUAGUGCGCUAUGUCAAUUGGGCGUCCACACUAAGUUCGGCAUCAAUGUGGUGGCCUCCUUGGAGCGAGGGGCCACUAGGUUGCCUAAGGAGGGGUGAACUGGCCCAGGUCGGAAACAGAGCAGGGUAAAACCCCUGUGCUGAUCAGCAGUGGGAUCGCGCCUGUGAAUAGCCACUGUACUCCAGCCUGGGCAACAUAGCAAGACCCCUUCU
rnacentral:SRP_RNA from 1 species